CAGUAGCCACGGGAAUACAGAGGGUGCGAGCGUUAAUCGGAUUUACUGGGCGUAAAGCGUGCGCAGGCGGUUAUAUAAGACAGAUGUGAAAUCCCCGGGCUCAACCUGGGAACUGCAUUUGUGACUGUAUAGCUAGAGUACGGCAGAGGGGGAUGGAAUUCCGCGUGUAGCAGUGAAAUGCGUAGAUAUGCGGAGGAACACCGAUGGCGAAGGCAAUCCCCUGGGCCUGUACUGACGCUCAUGCACGAAAGCGUGGGGAGCAAACAGGAUUAGAUACCCCUGUAGUCCCUGUCUCUUAUAC
rnacentral:rRNA from 1 species